GCCAAACAGCUAGCUCAAUUACCCAAUAACUAAACAAUAUAAAUAAAACAAAAUAAGCCUAACACCAAAAAUUAAAUCAUUCUUUUACCUUAGUAUGGGCGACAGAAAAGGUUACACCUGGAGCAAUAGAAAAAGUACCGCAAGGGAAAGCUGAAAGAGAAAUGAAAUAACUUAUAUAAGCACCAAAAAGCAAAGAUUAAAUCUUGUACCUUUCGCAUCAUGAUUUAGCCAGUAUAUCCAAGCAAAGAGACCUUUAGUUUGAAACCCCGAAACCAAGUGAGCUACCCCGAGACAGCCUAUUAAGGGCCAACCCGUCUCUGUGGCAAAAGAGUGGGAAGAGCUCCGGGUAGAGGUGACAGACCUACCGAACUUGGUGAUAGCUGGUUGCCUAAGAAGUGAAUAGAAGUUCAGCCUCGUACUCCCUGAAUCAAAAGAUAUAAAAAGAUAUUAGAGGGAAAUAUAUGAGAGUUAGUUAAAGGGGGUACAGCCCCUUUAACAAAGGACACAACCUUUCCAGGAGGAUAAAGAUCAUAAUACAUAAGACAUCCUGUUCUAGUGGGCCUAAAGGCAGCCAUCUAAACAGAAAGCGUUAAAGCUCAGACAGAAAUAAGUUUAUUAUUCCGACAAGAAAUCUUACUCCCCUAAAUAUUAUUAGGCCAGCCCAUGCCCACAUGGGAGAGACUAUGCUAAAAUGAGUAACAAGAAGGCCAGCCCUUCUCCAAGCACAAGUGUAAGCCAAACCGGACCGACCAUUGGCAAUUAACGAACUCAACCCGAGAGAGUAAUGUGUAUUACAACGAAACCAGGAAGAACCCACAAUUAACCCAUCGUUACCCCCACACUGGCGUGCUAUUAGAGGAAAGACUAAAAGAAGGGAAAGGAACUCGGCAAACACAAGCCUCGCCUGUUUACCAAAAACAUCGCCUCCUGCAACACAACCAAGUAUAGGAGGUCCAGCCUGCCCAGUGACUACAAGUUCAACGGCCGCGGUAUUUUGACCGUGCAAAGGUAGCGCAAUCACUUGUCUCUUAAAUGGAGACCUGUAUGAAUGGCUAAACGAGGGCUUAACUGUCUCCCCCCUCCAGUCAGUGAAAUUGAUCUACCCGUGCAGAAGCGGG
rnacentral:rRNA from 1 species